AGACCCGAAACCCGGUGAUCUAGCCAUGGGCAGGUUGAAGGUUGGGUAACACUAACUGGAGGACCGAACCGACUAAUGUUGAAAAAUUAGCGGAUGACCUGUGGCUGGGGGUGAAAGGCCAAUCAAACCGGGAGAUAGCUGGUUCUCCCCGAAAGCUAUUUAGGUAGCGCCUCGUGAAUUCAUCUCCGGGGGUAGAGCACUGUUUCGGCUAGGGGGCCAUCCCGGCUUACCAACCCGAUGCAAACUGCGAAUACCGGAGAAUGUUAUCACGGGAGACACACGGCGGGUGCUAACGUCCGUCGUGAAGAGGGAAACAACCCAGACCGCCAGCUAAGGUCCCAAAGUCAUGGUUAAGUGGGAAACGAUGUGGGAAGGCCCAGACAGCCAGGAUGUUGGCUUAGAAGCAGCCAUCAUUUAAAGAAAGCGUAAUAGCUCACUGGUCGAGUCGGCCUGCGCGGAAGAUGUAAC
rnacentral:rRNA from 5 species